GACGAACGCUGGCGGCGUGCUUAACACAUGCAAGUCGAACGGUGAACGAGGGAGCUUGCUCCCUCCGGGUCAGUGGCUGACGGGUGAGUAACACGUACGCAAUCUGCUCCGAACUCUGGGAUAAGCGUUGGAAACGACGUCUAAUACCGGAUACGACGCGGUAGGGCAUCCUCCCCGCGUGGAUCGGACUUCGGGUCGGGGUGAGAUCGCGGCCUAGCAGCUUGUUUGUGAGGGGACGGCUCCCCCAGGCGACGACGGGUAUCCCGCCUGAGAGGGUGACCGGCCACACUGGGACUGAGAGACGGCCCAGACUCCUACGGGAGGCAGCAGUGGGGAAUAUUGCACAAUGGGCGCAAGCCUGAGGCAGCAACGCCGCGUGAGGGACGACGGCCUUCGGGUUGUAAACCUCUUUUAGCAGGGAAGAAGCGAAAGUGACGGUACCUGCAGAAAAAGCACCGGCUAACUACGUG
rnacentral:rRNA from 1 species